rnacentral:rRNA from 1 species
AGACCCGAAACCCGGUGAUCUAGCCAUGGGCAGGUUGAAGGUUGGGUAACACUAACUGGAGGACCGAACCGACUAAUGUUGAAAAAUUAGCGGAUGACCUGUGGCUGGGGGUGAAAGGCCAAUCAAACCGGGAGAUAGCUGGUUCUCCCCGAAAGCUAUUUAGGUAGCGCCUCGUGAAUUCAUCUCCGGGGGUAGAGCACUGUUUCGGCUAGGGGGCCAUCCCGGCUUACCAACCCGAUGCAAACUGCGAAUACCGGAGAAUGUUAUCACGGGAGACACACGGCGGGUGCUAACGUCCGUCGUGAAGAGGGAAACAACCCAGACCGCCAGCUAAGGUCCCAAAGUCAUGGUUAAGUGGGAAACGAUGUGGGAAGGCCCAGACAGCCAGGAUGUUGGCUUAGAAGCAGCCAUCAUUUAAAGAAAGCGUAAUAGCUCACUGGUCGAGUCGGCCUGCGCGGAAGAUGUAACGGGGCUAAACCAUGCACCGAAGCUGCGGCAGCGACGUUUAUGCGUUGUUGGGUAGGGGAGCGUUCUGUAAGCCUGCGAAGGUGGCCUGUGAGGGUUGCUGGAGGUAUCAGAAGUGCGAAUGCUGACAUAAGUAACGAUAAAGCGGGUGAAAAGCCCG